rnacentral:rRNA from 1 species
GACGAACGCUGGCGGCGUGCUUAACACAUGCAAGUCGAACGGUAAGGCCCCUUCGGGGGUACACGAGUGGCGAACGGGUGAGUAGCACGUGAGCAACCUGCCCUUGACUUUGGGAUACCAGCUGGAAACAGCUGCUAAUACCGGAUAUGACCUCUUCUCUCAUGGGUUGAGGUGGAAAGCUCCGGCGGUCAGGGAUGGGCUCGCGGCCUAUCAGCUUGUUGGUGAGGUAAUGGCUCACCAAGGCUUCGACGGGUAGCCGGCCUGAGAGGGCGACCGGCCACACUGGGACUGAGAUACGGCCCAGACUCCUACGGGAGGCAGCAGUGGGGAAUAUUGCACAAUGGGCGCAAGCCUGAUGCAGCAACGCCGCGUGCGGGAUGACGGCCUUCGGGUUGUAAACCGCUUUCAGUAGGGACGAAGCUAACGUGACGGUACCUACAGAAGAAGGACCGGCUAACUACGUG